rnacentral:rRNA from 1 species
GCCUGGGAAACUGGGUCUAAUACCGGAUAGGAGCGCCCACCGCAUGGUGGGUGUUGGAAAGAUUUAUCGGUUUUGGAUGGACUCGCGGCCUAUCAGCUUGUUGGUGAGGUAAUGGCUCACCAAGGCGACGACGGGUAGCCGGCCUGAGAGGGUGACCGGCCACACUGGGACUGAGACACGGCCCAGACUCCUACGGGAGGCAGCAGUGGGGAAUAUUGCACAAUGGGCGAAAGCCUGAUGCAGCGACGCCGCGUGAGGGAUGACGGCCUUCGGGUUGUAAACCUCUUUCAGUAGGGAAGAAGCGAAAGUGACGGUACCUGCAGAAGAAGCACCGGCUAACUACGUGCCAGCAGCCGCGGUAAUACGUAGGGUGCGAGCGUUAUCCGGAAUUAUUGGGCGUAAAGAGCUCGUAGGCGGUUUGUCGCGUCUGUCGUGAAAGUCCGGGGCUUAACCCCGGAUCUGCGGUG